UAAGGAAUAUUGCUCAAUGGGAGAAAUCCUGAAGCAGCAACGCCGCGUGGAGGAUGAAGGGUCUAUGACUUGUAAACUCCUGUAAAGAAGGAAAAAAUUCCCAUUUGAUGGGAGAUGAUGGUACUUCUGGAGUAAGCCCCGGCUAACUACGUGCCAGCAGCCGCGGUAAUACGUAGGGGACAAGCGUUGUCCGGAUUUACUGGGUGUAAAGGGUGCUCAGGCGGAUUUGUAAGUCAGAGGUGAAAUCUUACAGCUUAACUGUGAAACUGCCUUUGAUACUGCAAGCCUAGAGUAUGGAAGAGAGUGAUGGAAUAUCUGGUGUAGCAGUGAAAUGCGUAGAUAUCAGAUAGAACACCAAUGGCGAAGGCAGUCACUUGGUCCAUUACUGACGCUAAAGCACGAAAGCGUGGGUAGCAAACA
rnacentral:rRNA from 1 species